rnacentral:rRNA from 1 species
AGUGAACGCUGGCGGUAGGCCUAACACAUGCAAGUCGAACGGCAGCACAGUAAGAGCUUGCUCUUACGGGUGGCGAGUGGCGGACGGGUGAGGAAUACAUCGGAAUCUACUUUUUCGUGGGGGAUAACGUAGGGAAACUUACGCUAAUACCGCAUACGACCUACGGGUGAAAGCAGGGGAUCUUCGUACCUUGCGCGAUUGAAUGAGCCGAUGUCGGAUUAGCUAGUUGGCGGGGUAAAGGCCCACCAAGGCGACGAUCCGUAGCUGGUCUGAGAGGAUGAUCAGCCACACUGGAACUGAGACACGGUCCAGACUCCUACGGGAGGCAGCAGUGGGGAAUAUUGGACAAUGGGCGCAAGCAUGAUCCAGCCAUACCGCGUGGGUGAAGAAGGCCUUCGGGUUGUAAAGCCCUUUUGUUGGGAAAGAAAAGCAGAAGGUUAAUACCCCGAUGUUCUGACGGUACCCAAAGAAUAAGCACCGGCUAACUUCGUG